UCGAGCGAUGAAGCUUCCUUCGGGAAGUGGAUUAGCGGCGGACGGGUGAGUAACACGUGGGUAACCUGCCUCAAAGUGGGGGAUAGCCUUCCGAAAGGAAGAUUAAUACCGCAUAAUAUAGGAGAAUUGCAUGAUUUUCUUAUCAAAGAUUUAUUGCUUUGAGAUGGACCCGCGGCGCAUUAGCUAGUUGGUAAGGUAACGGCUUACCAAGGCAACGAUGCGUAGCCGACCUGAGAGGGUGAUCGGCC
rnacentral:rRNA from 1 species